GACGAACCGAGCGAACGUUGUUCGGAAUCACUGGGCUUAAAGGGCGCGUAGGCGGGCAUCAUAGUCUGUGGUGAAAUCCGGCAGCUUAACUGUCGAAUUGCCAUGGAUACUGGGUGUCUCGAGGGAGGCAGGGGUGCGCGGAACUGAUGGUGGAGCGGUGAAAUGCGUUGAUAUCAUCAGGAACUCCGGUGGCGAAGGCGGCGCACUGGUCCUUUUCUGACGCUGAGGCGCGAAAGCCAGGGGAGCAAAC
rnacentral:rRNA from 1 species